UUUAUUUUGAACUUAAGAUUUAAGAUGAUUCACGCCGGAUUGAGAAAAAGAAUUUAUUUUAAUUCCAACAAAAAUGAUUUACAAAAACAUUUGUAAAUUUAGUUAUUAAAUUUAUAUGCAUUGCAUAUUUAUUUAAUUUAGCAUUCAAAGCAUUUUCACGAGCUUUUAUUUAAGCAAACACUGAAGAAUUAUUACAGUUUUCAUAGUACAACCGGGAAGACUUUUUAUUUUAUUAUUUUAUUCCUCCCACCUAUUUCCACUCACACGUUACUUUUGUCUUCCACCCAUCCACCACCUAUUUCCACUUUACAACACUAAAAAUUAGCUAAAUUCUCAUCCACCACCUACUCCCACCCUGUACUUACACUCUUUCCAGCCUCCCUACCAGUCCCAAAUUUCACUUUCCAGCCAUGCCUAAGGGCAGGCUGUCAAAUUUCAUUGCUUAAGCACGUUCAAGCCAAUUUCAGUUGGCAUUCUCAAUACCCAAAAUUUUCAGAUUUUCUUUUCACAGCAAGAAUUCAAGUGCAGAGCGGCCAUAGCUCGAUUCCAGCAACCAAACCAAGUUCCUAAAGGCUUUGUGGACCAAGGGGAUUAGCACUGCUUUCCCAAGACAGGUUAUGUGAUUAUGAUCUUCAGGCUUUGCCUAUCCAGGUUGAGCAAUUGAUGGAAUGGAAUGAUGUUGAGCGGGUGUUCCUUUGACAUUUCAAGAAAUGUAACCUUGAGUAUACAUCUUCAUAUGUAUAUCUCACACGUUUUCCGCUGCAAAACACUUUGAUUAGGAUAACUUUAUGUUAUGAAAUUGUAACACGUGUUAUUGGGUAAACCACCUUAAUCAGUUCUCUUUUAUGUGUAUGUUUUAUAAGUAUCCAAAUGAUCAUAUAUGAUCCUAGCUUUUUAUCUAUAAGUGACAUUUUCAUAUACUUUAAUGUUAA